UACGAAGGGGGCUAGCGUUGUUCGGAAUUACUGGGCGUAAAGCGUGCGCAGGCGGCUUCUCAAGUCAGUGGUGAAAGCCCGGAGCUCAACUCCGGAAUUGCCAUUGAAACUGUGAGGCUUGAGGACGAGAGAGGUGAGUGGAAUUCCCAGUGUAGAGGUGAAAUUCGUAGAUAUUGGGAGGAACACCAGUGGCGAAGGCGGCUCACUGGACCGGUACUGACGCUGAGGCGCGAAAGCGUGGGGAGCAAACGGG
rnacentral:rRNA from 1 species